GAAGCUUAACACAAGUCAGUUCCAGGGCUGACGAGCUCCUUGAGGUCAUUCGAUCCUCGUCCACUCUCUGGAAUGUGCGAGUCUGCGAGAAGUGGGCAAAGAUUGCUGUAACAAGCUGCUGAUCCAAAAGACCGUGCUGGUUCAAGAGUCAUCCUGAGCCAUCUGUAGCAGUGACAGCGGCAUGUCUCUGGAGGUCUUCAGUCACCGUAGCCUUGGACAGGAUUCCUGCUCCUAUCCAAGCACAUCUGUAGAAUGAAAAAAUGUCAGACUUGGUUUUAGCCACUAGUUUGUGGUAAACAGAGCUUCAAUGUCUUAAGAGUUCAGAGAACUCCCAGUUUUAUUUUUAUUUUAUUUAUUUAUUUUUUUUUUUUAAUAAAUCUAAAGGCUGG